rnacentral:tRNA from 1 species
GGUCUUUUAGUUUAGGUUAAAAUGUAGAUUUUGUAAAUCUGUGAUGGUUUUGUAAUCAUUGACCA